UAGGUACAAUGCUGCUUGGCCAAUGACUAGGAUUCCUCAUCUGUUAGCUCAGUCUCAAUUAUCAUAAACAUAUAUUUUAUAAGACUUAUCUUAUCGGACACCUUAUUGGCUUCCCUCCUUGUCGGUGGAUCACAUGGUGCCACUGGAGCAGGAGCCGAGGGGAAAAAAGAGAAAACUUCCCGUUUCUCCUCGCUCAAAUAUGUCACUUCCUGCCUGGAUCACCACUUCUCUACUACAUCUCCCAGAAUCCUCUUUGACUCCUAGUUCCGUCUAACUUGCUGUCUCAUUGGCCAAACAGUAUUUUAUUCAACAAUCAAUAAGAUAAACAUACACAGUACAUUCCCCAUCAGAGUCCACCUGGCCUAAUCACCUCUGCAGAAUCCCAUGCUUUAAUACAGCUGCCUCGGUAGGGGCUGGGAUUCAGUUUUAAACUGCAGUGAUUCUUAGGCAAAGUCCAUA
rnacentral:lncRNA from 1 species